rnacentral:rRNA from 1 species
UGCGUAGGCGGAAAAUUAAGUCAGUGGUGAAAUCCUGCAGCUUAACUGUAGAACUGUCAUUGAUACUGGUUUUCUUGAAUAUAGUUGAGGUAGGCGGAAUGUGUAAUGUAGCGGUGAAAUGCUUAGAUAUUACACAGAACACCGAUUGCGAAGGCAGCUUACUAAACUAUGAUUGACGCUGAGGUACGAAAGCGUGGGGAGCGAACAGGAUUAGAUACCCUGGUAGUCC